GUUUGUGGGGAGACAAUAAACCGACGGACCAGUGGCAGGAACCAAAAUAUGCUAAGAACUGCGCUGGGAGACACUUAAAAGAAGUGGAGGAUCUGUCGGUUUUGUGAGGAAAGAAAAGAUGAGAGGAAGCUGUUCCCGUGUCCUGAUUGACUGGGUCUCAUCACAGCAGCCAGCAUCCCUUUGUUUAACCGGGUCAGGUUGGGGAGGGUUUGCUUACUCACUCGAUGAGACGUCCAUGAAGAUGAGAGGAAGACCUUCCUUAAUCUUGGCUGACAUUGGCGGCUUGGCAAGCACAGCAGCUCACUGUUUCACUUGAAAUGGAUAAAACUUAACUUCCUCUGGGAUAAAGAGUGCUGUAGUGACAUACUGAACGCAGGCUGACACUGCAUGCUGCUUGGAUGAAAGCUACCAUCUAUAUAUUUUUUCUUACACGUUCUAUGAUUUAAUGGAAUUUGAACAGAAGACCUACUGAAAAAACUAUAUUUCAUAUAUAAAAGUCUUAAAAGUU